rnacentral:rRNA from 1 species
UAAUACGAAGGGGGCUAGCGUUGCUCGGAAUUACUGGGCGUAAAGGGCGCGUAGGCGGCCAGAUUAGUCAGGCGUGAAAGCCCUGGGCUCAACCUGGGGACUGCGCUUGAUACGGUUUGGCUUGAGGACGGAAGAGGCUCGCGGAAUUCCCAGUGUAGAGGUGAAAUUCGUAGAUAUUGGGAAGAACACCGGUGGCGAAGGCGGCGAGCUGGUCCGUACCUGACGCUGAGGCGCGACAGCGUGGGGAGCAAACAGGAUUAGAUACCCUGGUAGUCCACGCCGUAAACGAUGUGCGCUGGAUGUUGGGUGGCCUAGCCACUCAGUGUCGUAGCUAACGCGGUAAGCGCACCGCCUGGGGAGUACGGCCGCAAGGUUG